UGGGCCUAUAGCUCAGUUGGUUUAGAGCGCACGCCUGAUAAGCGUGAGGUCGGAGGUUCGAGUCCCCCUAGGCCCAUC
rnacentral:tRNA from 2 species